rnacentral:tRNA from 1 species
GUUGGUUAAAACCCUUCCUUUACUA